UACGGGGGGGGCAAGCGUUGUUCGGAAUUACUGGGCGUAAAGGGCUCGUAGGUGGCCCACUAAGUCCGACGUGAAAUCCCCAGGCUUAACUUGGGAACUGCGUCGGAUACUGGUGGGCUUGAAUCCGGGAGAGGGAUGCGGAAUUCCAGGUGUAGCGGUGAAAUGCGUAGAUAUCGUAAGGAAGACCAGUGGCGAAGGCGGGUCUCUGGACAGUUCCUGACGCUGAGGCACGAAGGUCAGGGGAGCAAACGGG
rnacentral:rRNA from 1 species